UGAUCCUGGCUCAGGACGAACGCUGGCGGCGUGCUUAACACAUGCAAGUCGAACGGUGAAGCCCAGCUUGCUGGGUGGAUCAGUGGCGAACGGGUGAGUAACACGUGAGCAACCUGCCCUCCACUUCGGGAUAAGCCUUGGAAACGGGGUCUAAUACCGGAUAUGAGCAUCCAUCGCAUGGUGGGUGUUGGAAAGUUUUUCGGUGGGGGAUGGGCUCGCGGCCUAUCAGCUUGUUGGUGGGGUGAUGGCCUACCAAGGCGUCGACGGGUAGCCGGCCUGAGAGGGCGACCGGCCACACUGGGACUGAGACACGGCCCAGACUCCUACGGGAGGCAGCAGUGGGGAAUAUUGCACAAUGGGCGAAAGCCUGAUGCAGCGACGCCGCGUGAGGGAUGACGGCCUUCGGGUUGUAAACCUCUUUCAGCAGGGAAGAAGCGCAAGUGACGGUACCUGCAGAAGAAGCGCCGGCUAACUACGUGCCAGCAGCCGCGGUAAUACGUAGGGCGCAAGCGUUGUCCGGAAUUAUUGGGCGUAAAGAGCUCGUAGGCGGUUUGUCGCGUCUGGUGUGAAAUCCCGAGGCUCAACCUCGGGCUUGCAUCGGGUACGGGCAGACUAGAGUGCGGUAGGGGAGACUGGAAUUCCUGGUGUAGCGGUGGAAUGCGCAGAUAUCAGGAGGAACACCGAUGGCGAAGGCAGGUCUCUGGGCCGCAACUGACGCUGAGGAGCGAAAGCAUGGGGAGCGAACAGGAUU
rnacentral:rRNA from 1 species